UACGAAGGGGGCUAGCGUUGUUCGGAAUUACUGGGCGUAAAGCGAACGUAGGCGGACUAUUAAGUCAGGGGUGAAAUCCCGGGGCUCAACCCCGGAACUGCCUUUGAUACUGGUAGUCUCGAGUCCGGAAGAGGUGAGUGGAAUUCCGAGUGUAGAGGUGAAAUUCGUAGAUAUUCGGAGGAACACCAGUGGCGAAGGCGGCUCACUGGUCCGGUACUGACGCUGAGGUGCGAAAGCGUGGGGAGCAAACAGG
rnacentral:rRNA from 1 species